rnacentral:rRNA from 1 species
AUUGAACGCUGGCGGAAUGCUUUACACAUGCAAGUCGAACGGCAGCACGGACUUCGGUCUGGUGGCGAGUGGCGAACGGGUAAGUAAUACAUCGGAACGUGCCCAGUCGUGGGGGAUAACGUAGCGAAAGCUACGCUAAUACCACAUACGAUCUAAGGAUGAAAGCGGGGGAUCGCAAGACCUCGCGCGAUUGGAGCGGCCGAUGGCAGAUUAGGUAGUUGGUGGGGUAAAGGCUCACCAAGCCGACGAUCUGUAGCUGGUCUGAGGGGACGACCAGCCACACUGGGACUGGGACACGGCCCAGACUCCUACGGGAGGCAGCAGUGGGGAAUUUUGGACAAUGGGCGCAAGCCUGAUCCAGCCAUUCCGCGUGCAGGAUGAAGGCCCUCGGGUUGUAAACUGCUUUUGUACGGAACGAAAAGGCUCUGGUUAAUACCUGGGGCUCAUGACGGUACCGUAAGAAUAAGCACCGGCUAACUACGUGCCAGCCGCCGCGGUAA